GUUCCUACGGGACGCAGCAGUGGGGAAUAUUGCACAAUGGGGGAAACCCUGAUGCAGCGACGCCGCGUGAGUGAAGAAGUAUUUCGGUAUGUAAAGCUCUAUCAGCAGGGAAGAAAAAAGACGGUACCUGACUAAGAAGCCCCGGCUAACUACGUGCCAGCAGCCGCGGUAAUACGUAGGGGGCAAGCGUUAUCCGGAUUUACUGGGUGUAAAGGGAGCGUAGACGGUAUGGCAAGUCUGAAGUGAAAGCCCAGGGCUUAACCCUGGGACUGCUUUGGAAACUGUUAGACU
rnacentral:rRNA from 1 species